GACGAACGCUGGCGGCGUGCCUAAUACAUGCAAGUCGAGCGAAGUUUUUCUGGUGCUUGCACCGGAAAAACUUAGCGGCGAACGGGUGAGUAACACGUAAAGAACCUGCCUCAUAGACUGGGACAACUAUUGGAAACGAUAGCUAAUACCGGAUAAUAGCAUUAACUGCAUGGUUGAUGUUUAAAAGUUUGUUUUGCUAACACUAUGAGAUGGCUUUGCGGUGCAUUAGCUAGUUGGUGGGGUAAAGGCCUACCAAGGCGACGAUGCAUAGCCGACCUGAGAGGGUGAUCGGCCACACUGGGACUGAGACACGGCCCAGACUCCUACGGGAGGCAGCAGUAGGGAAUCUUCCGCAAAGGGCGAAAGCCUGACGGAGCAACGCCGCGUGAGUGAAGAAGGAUUUCGGUUCGUAAAGCUCUGUUGUUAGGGAAGAAUGAUUGUGUAGUAACUAUACACAGUAGAGACGGUACCUAACCAGAAAGCCACGGCUAACUACGUG
rnacentral:rRNA from 1 species